UGUUAGAAGGAAUGAGACAGGCAGC
rnacentral:piRNA from 1 species